rnacentral:rRNA from 1 species
UACAGAGGUCUCAAGCGUUGUUCGGAUUCAUUGGGCGUAAAGGGUGCGUAGGCGGCGCGGUAAGUCGGGUGUGAAAUUUCGAGGCUUAACUUCGAAACUGCAUUCGAUACUGCCGUGCUAGAGGACUGGAGAGGAGACUGGAAUUUACGGUGUAGCGGUGAAAUGCGUAGAUAUCGUAAGGAAGACCAGUGGCGAAGGCGGGUCUCUGGCCCGGUACUGACGCUGAGGCGCGAAAGCGUGGGGAGCAAACAGG